rnacentral:miRNA from 1 species
GAUUGCAGCUUUACAGUGUUUCC